rnacentral:rRNA from 1 species
AGUUUGACUGGCUCAGAUUGAACGCUGGCGGGAUGCUUUUUGCCACAUGCAAGUCGAACGGCAGCACGGACUUCGGUCUGGUGGCGAGUGGCGAACGGGUGAGUAAUGUAUCGGAACGUGCCUAGUAGCGGGGGGAUAACUACGCGAAAGCGUAGCUAAUACCGCAUAACGCCCUUCGGGGAAAGCGGGGACCUUCGGGCCUCGCACUAUUAGAGCGGCCGAUAUCGGAUUAGCUAAGUUGGUGGGGUAACGGCUCACCAAGGCGACGAUCCGUAGCUGGUUUGAGAGGACGACCAGCCACACUGGGACUGAGACACGCCCAGACUCCUACGGGAGGCAGCAGUGGGGAAUUUUGAGCAAUGGGGGAAACUCCUGAUUCAGCCAUCCCGCGUGUGCGAUGAAGGCCUUCGGGUUGUAAAGCACUUUGGCAGGAAAGAAACGGCACGGGAUAAUACCCCGUGCAACUGACGGUACCUGCAGAAUAAGCACCGGCUAACUACGUGCCAGCAGCCGCGGUAAUACGUAGGGUGCAAGCGUUAAUCGGAAUUACUGGGCGUAAAGCGUGCGCAGGCGGUUCGGAAAGAAAGAUGUGAAAUCCCAGAGCUUAACUUUGAACUGCAUUUAAUCACUGAGCUAGAGUGUGUCAGAGGAGGUGGAAUUCCGGUGUAGCAGUGAAAUGCGUAGAUAUGCGGAGGAACACCGAUGGCGAAGGCAGCCUCCUGAUAACACUGACGCUCAUGCACGAAAGCGUGGGGAGCAAACAGGAUUAGAUACCCCGGUAGUCCACGCCCUAAACGAUGUCAACUAGCUGUUGGGGCCUUCGGGCUCGGUAGCGCAGCUAACGGGGUGUGAAGCUGACCGCCUGGGGAGUACGGUUUCGCAAGAUUAAAACUCAAAGGAAUUGACGGGGACCCGCACAAGCGGUGGAUGAUGUGGACAAUUUACGCAACGCGAAAAACCUUACCUACCUUUGACAUGUUCGGAAUCCCCGAAGAGAUUUGGGAGUGCUCGGAAAAGAGAACCGGAACACAGGUGCUGCAUGGCUGUCGUCAGCUCGUGUCGUGAGAUGUUGGGUUAAGUCCCGGCAACGAGCGCAACCCUUGUCAUUAGUUGCUACGAAAGGGCACUCUAAUGAGACUGCCGGUGACAAACCGGAGGAAGGUGGGGAUGACGUCGUCCUCAUUUUAUGGGUAGGGCUUCACACGUCAUACAAUGGUCGGGACAGAGGGUCGCCAAAUCCGCGAGGGGAGCCAAUCCCAGAAACCCGAUCGUGUCCGGAUCGCAGUCUGCAACCUGACUGCGUGAAGUCGGAAUCGCUAGUAAUCGUGACUAUCAGCAUGUCGCGGUGAAUGGCCGUUCCCGGUUCUGUACACACUGCCCGUCACACCAUGGGAGUGGGUUUUCAACAGAAGUAGUUAGCCUAACCUCGUAAGGAGGGCGAUUACCACGGUAGGAUUCACAUCAGUGAAGUCGUAACAAGGCAGCUCUGUUACUACCUGAUAGCAACACGCAACUGUUCCGAAGUAUACU